CCUGUCCUCCUAUUUUCAGUUGGUUUUGGCAGCGCGAGGACUAGGGUAAUGAUUAAUAGGGAUAGUUGGGGGCAUUAAUAUUUAAUUGUCAGAGGUGAAAUUCUUGGAUUUAUGAAAGAUUAACUUCUGCGAAAGCAUCUGCCAAGGAUGUUUUCAUUAAUCAAGAACGAAAGUUAGGGGAUCGAAGACGAUCAGAUACCGUCGUAGUCUUAACCAUAAACGAUGCCGACCAGCGAUUAGGAGACGUUGAAUACAAAACACCACCAUCGGCGCGGUCGUCCUUGGCGUCGGUCCUUC
rnacentral:rRNA from 1 species